CGCCUGCCUGCCUGCAGCCCACCUCUCCGGUACCACGAUAUACGCAAGCUCAGCAAGUGUCCUCCUGCUCUCCUACAGCUGCCUACGGCUGAGUUCACUUCUUGACCAGAGCUUUGGAACAAGAGUGUUGGUGGGCAGUAAAAGCCAGUCGAGUCUGGUGUUGGUGGUAAACACGCUCACCUUCUCAAUGGCGUCUUCAUCUUAAAACUCAACCUUGAACACAGGAGAUACGUCACUGGCCUCGCUGUUAUGUACAAGGACAUUGUUCCCAAGGUCCCGUACCUCGCCUACCAUCAUGCUACCUACGAAACAGCUACUACUGUCCCCACGACGGUCAGCCAGCAGCAGUUUUACUCUGGUUGUCCUUUCUUCCUUCACUGACGAUCCGAGGAGUGCUGUUAUACCACGAGACGAGCAGCCAUACCACUCUGACGAUA